GACGUAGGGCGCGAGCGUUGUCCGGAUUUAUUGGGCGAAAGAGCUCGUAGGCGCUUGUCGCGUCUGCUGUGAAACCGAGGCUCAACCUCGGGCCGCAGUGGGUACGGGGCAGACUAGAGUGCGGUAGGGGGAGAUUUGGAAUCCUGGUGUAGCGGUGGAAUGCGCAGAUAUCAGGAGACACCGAUGGCGAAGGCAGAUCUC
rnacentral:rRNA from 1 species